ensembl:lincRNA Gm36211 predicted gene, 36211
UGCUUCAGCCUUCUGAGUGCUGACCUUUUAGGAGUGAGCCUCUGGGUCUGGCUGCUGCUUUCAUUUUCCAGGUAUCUGGGGCACAAAGGUCAAGGCAAAGAGCUGCCUAGUAGCUGAGCUGGGAUUUGAACGUAGCCCGUAGGGUUCCAGGGCUCUGUAUGCUCACCUCCUGCACUGUUUGUUAUGCUGAGUGUUGGGAGGCUCCUGCACUGUGCUGGCUAUCUGUAGGUGGGUCCUGGGAGACCUUUUCUCUAUCCAAGUCUAGCUGAGACUUGGGCUUUGCUAGUGCAUGAGGCCUGCAGCAAUCUUGUAAUCAGGGUUGUGGGAGCCUGGAAGGCUUCCCUAGAAGCAUAUGCCCAAACCUGUGCCCCCUCUUAGAGUUGGGACCUUUACAAGUCUGUCUGAGUAAGCUGCCGAAGGACUCUAGUUUCUGCAGACUUCAGGUUGUGUCAGAGGAAACAGGUAUAUAAAGUCUCCAAGCCCGAAAGCCUAGGGCCAUCUGUGACAGACUCCAGCUGUCUUUGCUUGAAGAUCCUAAAGCCCUCUUGGUACUAAGGCCCUUCUCUGAAGCCAGAGCCCUGCUGUAGCUUGCACAUUUUAGAAGACUUCCUCGCUGCCACUGGAUCCUCAGAGAAAUGCCAGCGAUUGGCCAAACCCAGUGGCUCUCCUGCUACAGACCUGGGCUUCCUCAAAGGAAAGACCACUGGGUAGGAUGUCAAAUGUGCAGUCCCAAUUUCUUGAAGCUGUCAGAAGAGGCCAUUGGAUUGCCUGCAACUGGGGAUGGUUGUGAACCACCACUCCAGAACACAUAACACAUGUAGUCAGCUGCUGCAAUGAGGAUCUAGAAAGACUCUCAAAGCUCCAUGUUAAAGGCUUCAAGUUUGGCACUACUGCACCACAGUGGAAACUUGAAGAGGUGGACCCUAGUGAGAAGGCUUUAUGUCAUUGGAAAGUGACCUCCAAGGAAGUUUUAGGGUCCCAGUCUCUUUCUGCAGUGAGAGGCAUUACUGUGAAAAUAGCUCUGACAUUCAAAGAGACUGGAACUUUUGCUGGGCUUCAGAGACAGUGCGAGUGAUGUACCUUGAAGUCACUUGAAGCUUGGAGUUAUUAUUCCUAGUGUGUUCUGUUUGUUUAAUUGUGUAACAUUGUUUUGCCUUGGAGAGAACAGUGUAACAACCAACCUUACUUGCUGGGGAUUUCCCAUGUGACAAACUCUUACAACCUAAACUGAUGCAUAGCAGUAAUCUUUAAUUAUGUACUCUCCCGAGAGACCCAGGGAGCAACAUAUAUGUGUUUGUAUGUGUGCUAUGUCAGCUAUCUGUUGAAAGCAACAUAUAGGUUGAAAAGCAGCCUUAUAAAACAAAUAUCGCCUGUAAGUGCUGGCCAAAGCACUUGGAUAUUUUGCGAUGGUGUUUGUUUGUUUGUUUGUUUGUUUGUUUGUUUGUUUGUUGUCUGGGUCGGCUGGGGUCAGUUGGAGUCAGUGACUCAAUCCCUUGUAAAACUAUGUUAAUGAUCUC